CGAAUGACUCUCAGCAACGGAUAUCUUGGCUCUUGCAACGAUGAAGAACGCAGCGAAAUGCGAUACCUAGUGUGAAUUGCAGAAUUCCGCGAAUCAUCGAGUUUUUGAACGCAAGUUGCGCCCGAGGCCUCGUCCGAGGGCAUGCCUGC
rnacentral:rRNA from 1 species